rnacentral:tRNA from 1 species
GGCUCCGUAGUUCAAUGGAUAGAAUGUGGGUUUCCGGUACCCAAGAUGAAGGUUCGAUUCCUUCCGGAGCUACAA